rnacentral:rRNA from 1 species
AUGGCAAUCUCAAAGAAGAACACAAGCGCCCUGAUUUUGAUGGCCCUCAUAGUCAUGGCCACUGUCCUCUCCUCGUGCAACGCAAACAAUGAGAUAGAUGCUCUCCCCCUACCCGAUAAAUGCUACAGCACGGAACUCCCUAACUGCACAAAGGAGGCGUGCAAGAAACUUUGCAACAGCCCAGGGGGUCAACCAUCAAGAAGCUUGAAGGAGAUACGCAAGCUGGAGAAGUUCUCUGCUUUUGAGCUCAAAGUGAAGAAGCUGGUUGCACCGUUCAUCAUGGAGCAGAAGCACUAUUUCAAAAACUAG